rnacentral:rRNA from 1 species
UACGUAGGGCGCAAGCGUUGUCCGGAAUUAUUGGGCGUAAAGAGCUCGUAGGCGGCUUGUCACGUCGGGUGUGAAAGCCCGGGGCUUAACCCCGGGUCUGCAUUCGAUACGGGCUAGCUAGAGUGUGGUAGGGGAGAUCGGAAUUCCUGGUGUGGCGGUGAAAUGCGCAGAUAUCAGGAGGAACACCGGUGGCGAAGGCGGAUCUCUGGCCAUUACUGACGCUGAGGAGCGAAGCAUGGGUAGCAAACAGG